GAAGCUCUUUUGACAGUGCAGGGCUACUGAAGUGGGGCCCUCUGGCACUCCUAAAAUCUGACCCAAGUCACAAACCCUCUCCUGUAGAGACUCAUGUGGGCACAUCCUCACCCCAUUUGUUUUCAGUUCAAGGGAGAUCAUGGGACCCCUGAUGCGCACUUGAGACCCACCCUAGUUAAAAAGUCCUAUUUCCAUCUCUUUCAACCCUUCCAGGCCCUGGGGGUCCCAGGCCGAGUCAACAGCUCCGGCUACAUUGUGGUGAACUCCACGGCCAUGGACGCUCAGGUGCUGGUCACCGUGGAUGCCAGCACGCUACGGGGGCUGCUUGUCCUCAGUACCACCGAGACCCAGCAGGAGGUGAACUUGCUGCUCACACACAACCUGCCUCAGCCCAACCCCUUGGCCCUCCCAGCCCAGAUCCUGCUGUACCUGACCAACGAGAGGCUCGGGCCCAGCUACAGACACACCCUGUGGGUCGGAGUGGAUGGCAAAGAGGUCUCUGCGGACGUUGACAGCAGCGGCGCUGGCUUUGAGAAUUCAGGACGCGUCUCGUCGGGGUCCACGUCUCUGAACUACUCCGUGAGCUGCCAUCACCGCGAUGGGCGCCUGGAGUUCUCUGGUUGGAGCGAGCACAACAGCUGGGCCCUGCGGCAGGCGGGGUUCCCUGGAGAGGCCCGCCUGGGCGCCGAGCUGCAGAUGCAGAAGACCCAGACGCAGGCCCGUGUGGUCCUCCAAGCUGGGGACGAUGGGAUCAGCAUGGACGCGGUAGCCCUGGUGGCCCGGCCAGUGAAUGGCCCCCUGGAGCUGGUGGUGAAUGUCAGCCACACGGCACCUCUUCUCCGGAGGCUGGGCCUGCCCUUUGCCAGCCAGCUCAUGUUCCGGGAGCUCUGGGAAAAGGAAGAGAUGCAUUCUUCCCUGCAGCUGACGUGCGAUUCUCAAACCAGCCUGGUCCUCAACAUCCAAGGCCACAACCAGGCACUCAGCAAAGAGCUGCGGCUCUCCGGCCAGCAUCACCUCCCUGUCCUCCUUGGCCGCUGCCCCAGCAGAGCCUCCGCCUCAGCCAAGCUACGAUACUCUGAGGGUGGAGCUGAGGGCACAUUUGUGUUGAUGGUGGAGGAGCAUCAUUUCCACAUGGGUGCCGGGCUCGCAGCUGCGAAGAACAGCCUUACCAACAUCAUCAAGCUGGAGCAGAACUUCCCCCAGUUCCACGCCCUUCCUGGGGAGCUGGUCCUUCAGACCUCAUACGAGCGAGCCCGUGGCACCCAAGUCCUGCACCACACGGUGCUGUGGGACGGGCAGGGUGUGGCCCUCAAGGGGAGCCUCAAUGGGAGCCUCUCCAUGCCCUUCCUCAAGCCCGCUGGGACCCUUGGUCUGCAGGUGGAGCUCACCCACCCGCUGCCCCUGCCCCUUCCAUGGCACUGCAGCUUCCGCCUGACCUCCGAGCAUUCAGCACGCCGUCACCAGGAUGACCUGGUUGUGGCCUGGGACGGCAAGGACCAGGUGGCGCUGUCCUCCUCUCUGCGGCUGGGGAAGGGCAAGCUGGCCGCCCGCCUGGCCCUGGCUCACCCUUUCAGCCUCUCCUGGCGGCAGGCCGAGGCCAGUGGCCUUGCUGAGAGCAGGGGCGGCAGGCAGAGCUGGCAGGUGCAGCUUGCCUGGAACGGAGGGCAGCCGCUGGCCUUGCAGCUCACCUGGGCCAACAGGUCCUCGACGCAGAGCACCUCCUGGGAUGGUUGCGUGGCUGCCUCCCUGGGGCAGCUCCAGGACACCUGGGGCCUGGGCACCCUCAGGGCCUGUGGGGCCUUAACGCAGACCCCAGCUGUGCUCAGCGAGUGGCUGGAUCUGUCCUGGGACGGACGCCAGGUGCGGCAGAACCUGACUUACGAGAGGCGCCAGCCAUUCCUCCCGGACAAGAUCCAUGCAGAGGCCAUGCUGGAGCAUGUCCUCGGGGCCCCCUGCUCCACGCAGAGCUUCUGGGGAGACGUGGAGACAGACCAUGCCCGCUGGGUGCGCCACUCCCUGCGGCUGGGGCUCUGCCACCUGCCCACGGCACUCUCAGUCUCUGGGGAGCACACCCUGGGCAGCGGUAAGCUCCUGCUACACUCCAGAUGCCAGCUGGGCCUCGCCCCAGACCCAGAUCACGGCCUGCACCUCAGCCUGACACUCCACAACCACAGCAGGCCCCGGACGCAUGACUACUCCGGGGAGCUGGAGCUCCAUGGCCCCAAAGCUCAGUGGCUUGGCCUGCUGGGCCGCGUCUCCACCUCGGCUUCUCGAAGCCUGGUCCAGCUGGAGGGAAGCGUGGACGACGGGGAUGAGAAAGUGAGGCUGUCGGUGUCUCGGGCCCCGAACUGCCUCCAGGCCUCGGUGGCCCACGAGGAAGGGAGCCAAGAGGAGAGCGUGCUGCUGUGGGCCUGCGCCCACAGGCAGGCAGCGGAGGUGGAGGCUCUGCUCCGGGACCGAGGGCAGCCCGUCCAGCCGCUGGUUCGCUUGACCCUGCAGGCUGCCAACCAGAGCCUCCGCUUGGCCGCACGCGGCUGCCAGGGGACCCUGCUGGGCCACGUGGAGUCCAGGGUGGCUGCUCUCGGGUCCCAGAUGCAAGCGGGGCUGGAGGAGAGGAUCCACAGCUUGGAUGCCUAUGUGAGACGGUUCCAGCGCCUGGUGCAGCCAGCGGGCGCCCUGGAUGGCAUGGCCGGCCUGCUUCUGCGGCUGUGCCAGGCGGGGCUGGGGGCCGUGCAGGAUGGUGGCAGGGCGGUGGCCGCGCUGUGGGGCCUGAGCCCCACUGGGCGGGUGCUCACCCUCCACGUGCCGCUCUCCCUGGAGAGGCUGCGGGCAGGUUUGGAGCAGCUGCGGAAGGAGCUAGAACGGCCCCUGGCCACGCUGAAGGAUGCCUACCUGGAGGUGACGGUGCAGCCCCUGGACAACGUGUGGCGGAAGCGGGUGGAGGAGGCCCUGCGGCAGCUGCAGGCCUGGGUGUCCGGGACACCGGGCACCUGGGGGUCCGGACCCCUUGGGGCAGCGCUGGAGGCCACAGGGGGCGCCCUGGAGCUGGCCGCCCACCAGAUGCUGUCUUGGGCCGACGCUGCGCUCUCACGGGCACUAAGGCGGCUCCGCAGACCCCUGUUGGACCUGUACAGCUUCUCGGCCAGGUGACUGUUCCGCUCCGAGGCCCUGCCCCACGCCAGGCACACCUUCCACCUCAUCCACUUCCCUGCCAGAGGCAUUUUCAUCCCCAUUUUACAGAUCAGAAAACUGAGGUCUGUUCUUCAUUCUGCAGAUAUUUUACAAGUGUUCUCUCUGAGCAGGUGGGGUUUUAG
rnacentral:lncRNA from 1 species